AUGGGAGCUGGCGGAGGCUCUCAGCACGGGCUCCGCCAGGUGUCCAGGAUGGAGAUGGGAGGAGGCCCGUCGGGCUCGGCUAUGUGCAGUGAAGCUGGGGUUGGGGUAAGGACUCCGCCCCAGGGCGCAGGUGCGCAGUCCUGGCUAGGCAGCCUGCCAGGGUGCGGAGCGGGAGCGGGUCCUUGGGCUGCACUUGGGCGGCGCCGGAUCGGACGCUUGGCACUCUGGGCGGCCCCCCGGCGGAGUGGUGGUCCCAGGAGAACCUCCGAGGUGGGAGGGUCCCGCCCGCAUAGAGGGAUGUUCUGGAGAAGCCGGGAGCAGAGUCCGCGGGCACGCGGUGGGCGAGGGACAGUGCAGGUGCCGGGUGCGGGGGUCUCCGGGACAGUCCCCGGCACGCGCUGGUCCGCCGUGGGGCCCUGCGGUGAGCGGCGCCCCCUGGCGCGGGGGAGGAGGACGGAAGCGGGAGGUGAGGGCGAACCGGGAAGAGGGACGGUGGUCCCUGGCGCGGCGCUCCGCGUCGGGACCUGGAGGAGCUGCGCCCUCUGGCGCGGGGGCGGAGAGGCGGGCGAGAGGCCCUGGCUCUUACCUCCCGGGGUCCCGCGGGUGACGGCGGCAGCGGCCAUUCUACCCCACACCGACCCCCCCCAGCGCCGGCUGACAGCGGCGUCUAA
rnacentral:lncRNA from 1 species